rnacentral:rRNA from 1 species
AAGUGGCAGCGAUGUCACUGUGUCGCGAGACGACUCCGUACAGGUGCUGCAUUGGCUGUCGUCAGCUCGUGCCGUGAGGUGUUGGGUUAAGUCCCGCAACGAGCGCAACCCUACUGCCAGUUACUAACAGGUGAAGCGUGAGGACUCUGGCGGAACUGCCGGUGACAAACCGGAGGAAGGUGGGAUGACGUCAAGUCAUCAUGGCCCUUAUGACCUGGGCUACACACGUGCUACAAUGGUUGGUACAACGAGUUGCGAGUCGGUGACGGCGAGCUAAUCUCUUAAAGCCAAUCUCAGUUCGGAUUGUAGGCUGCAACUCGCCUACAUGAAGUCGGAAUCGCUAGUAAUCGCGGAUCAGCACGCCGCGGUGAAUACGUUCCCGGGCCUU